GAGUAAUACCCAUGGUAAAACCACGGGUUAUUGAAAAUAAAAAACAUAUAGAACUUACCCAUGGCCAAACCAUGAGUAAUAUCUAAACUAAUUCUUUCCCAUGGUAAAACCGUGGGAAAUGUGAAAAUAAAAAAAUAAAAAAUCUCUUUUUUGUAGUAAUUUAAAAAUAAUUUUUUUUUUUGUGGUAGUCGGGGUUUGAACCCCGGAUCUUGCAUAUAUUAUGCAUUGUCCCUACCAACUGAGUUAAGCUCACGCAAACAUGUCGCUUAGUUUAUUUAACUAGAAUCCUUAGUUUUUUUAUUUAGUUUAUUUGUAUAAUUUAAUGGAUCAUUUUAGUUUUACUAUAAUUGUUAGUUUUUAAUUAAAGUUAGUUGAGAUAAACUCAAAGUUAGUUAAGAUACAAAAGUAUUACAUAGUUUAGUAUGGAUGUUAGCUAUUUUUAAGCAAAGUUUGUUAGUUUGUUUGAUUACUUGAUAAACAAGUAUUGUGAAUAAGUUUGUAUAUAAAUAUGAUGUAAACACGCUUUCAUUAUUAAUGAGACAAAGUUUACGAUCAAUAGAAUGUUCUCUUCUUCUCUUCUUCUCUCCUCUCUCAAUAUCGAAUGUGGGAAAAACAAAGGGGUUGAAUUGUGUUGGUUUUUUAUGAUUCUUUUUUUAUUCUUUUUGUGAGUGUUUAAUACUAGAUUGACUUUGAGUGCAGCGGAUAAAACAGAAAAACAAAGAUAAAAGAGAGAUAGAGAGAAAGAGCAGACAGAUGCAAUUUUAUACUAGUUCCUCCCACACCACAACAUAGGAGUAGUCCAGUCUCUUGCACUUUCAAGGGAUUUCAUUAUAAUCUCACAGAUUACAAUUGCUCAAGUACUCUUCCAAGAAACUUCUCAAUGCUCAAGCACCCCUGGUAAAGAAACUUCUUUGCUCAAGGUCACUACUAAGAGAAUUUCACUGCUCAAGGACAACUCCAAGAGACUUCUAUUGUUCAAGCAUGCAAGUAAGAGACUUCCAACUCUCAAAGGGAACUAUGGUCAAAUUAGUAGGCGACAAAUUGUAUUAUUCAGAGUCUGAUAGCAACCUUCCUUCACAAGGAAACAAAACUAGUCAGAAACUUAUGAUACUGACAUGGUUUCAAAGUCUUGACACCUUCUGACCUUCAGAUGCUUCUGAAUAGACUUCCUCUUUUGAUCCAAAUGUUGACUUCAGGAUAGGGUACUAUAGACAGGUCUCAAGUCGAUGAUGUUUGGUUCAAGCAUAUUCCUUUAAAGGUGUCUUUAUUGGCGUGGCGUCUUCUUCGUAAUCGGGUUCCAACAAGAGAUAAUCUGGUGUGGAGGGGUAUUCUUCUUCCAACGGACGGAGCUUGUGUGGCUGGUUGUGAAACAUUGAAUCGGCAACACACCUUUUUUUGCAUUGUAAUUUUUUCAGUCAAGUGUGGUCUGGUGUGCGGACGUGGUUAGGCAUUAUUCAGUGCCGUCUGGUGAGCUUCGACAUCAUUUUCAUCAAUUCACUAAGAUAGCAGGCAUGCCAAGAACUUCUUUUUUAUUCUUAACUGUAAUUUGAUUUGCAACUGUUUGGGUGAUUUGGAAGGAGAGGAAUAAUCGUUAUUUAAAAACAUGAUGUUUGAUCGGUCAAGACUCAUUGAGCAGGUCAAGCUAACUUCAUUCCUAUGAUUGAAAUAUAAACAGGCGGUUUUAGCUUAUACUUAUCAGGAUUGGUGGAGACACCCGUUGUUAUGCAUGAGUGUGAACGUGUAAUUUAUUUUUUUAGGUUGGUGCCACUUUAUGGGGUACCUUGACACUGUAAUUAUGUAAACUUGUGUUUGGUUUUUCUCUUUGCGCUUCUUGUGCAAAGGGAAAUACCCUUGAGUAAUAUAUAUUUUUUAUUUUGA